rnacentral:sRNA from 1 species
CAAACAUAGCUCUUGUUGGUGACAGGAGCGAAUUGGCCGAGGUUUGAGCCAGCCUUGAGGAACUCGACAGGAUCCUGAUGGUCUUCGACAUAACCAACACCUCCCACAGCCUUAUCUGUGCUAAUUCAGUUCCAAUCCCUUCAUAAGGCUCACAAAUUACUUACAAUAGCCAGCAAUCCUCAGAAUAUCUUCAGGAAAGGUUUUAGCAAGCUCGAGUGGUGUGGAGAGAACCUCUUCUUGGUCUUGCCUGAAAUAGUCUCUCUGGCCAAAGACAGCGAAAAGGGUCCUCAAAGCAUCUGGAUCAGAUUUCUCGCAUUGGUUCUCGCCUGCACCGUGAUAACAAGACCCGAGGGUGAAGAGAGCGUCCCCAGCCUCCAUCUCAGCAUAAGUACACUCCUCGAUCUUGGGGGCACGGUCAGGACUCCAGAGGUGAGAGCCAGGGAUGACAGCAGUGGCGCCGUUUUUCUUGGUACAUUUGGACCCGGCAAUGAGGCAGCCGACCAUGGGGGUGAAAAGGGGAUUAGUAGGAUCGGGCCGAAUUUGAUAGGCGAUUUGGUCCUGUUUUGAAGUCAAUUGCUGAAACUACAUGGCAUAAAAACGGAGGCAAGAGCACCUACCCGAUGAAGUGGUUGUUUCUGGGCACCUGGAACCAGUCGAAGGGCAGCUGUUGAGGCCAGCAUAUAGCCGCUCUUUUGGGGAAUCAACUUCUCGCCAGUGUAUGAAGAAUACUCGUCGCUAAAACAGGUACAAGUCUCAGUAGUAAUUCAGUUGAGCAAGGGAUAAACUCACUUGAGGAACCGUGCCAUAACGCCCUGCCAGGUCGGAAGGCGUACAAUCUUGGUGAUAACCUGGGGAAUUUUACCAAGCAGACCAUAAAUUCGAAGAGAACCAGAAGGGAAAAAGUCUUCGCCGAGCUCCUGAUGAGUCGACUUGGAUUCAUAAUUGCCUCGCACAGCAAAAUGAGGCUCAAUGGAGCUCAUGGCUUCUUGAAGGAGCUCGGAUGAGAGGAAGUUGCGAAUGAUGACACCGCCAUCGCGCUCGAUGACUUUGUAAAUUUCUACAAGAGGGGUAGAGGCUUCGAGGUAAGUGAGAGAUGCUGGCUUGGUCAUUGUGUAGAAGUAUGGUGGAACUGCAAUGUUUGAAAAGUUGAGUGGGUAAACUAGAUAAUAAGAGGAAGCUUGUUUGUUGUAUCCAGUGCUUGCUGCACGUCGACUAUAUGUAUAUCG